AGUUUCUCAGCGGGAGGCUGGACUAUCUGGGUAACGGUUUGAUUGUAUGGUUUAGUAUUGAUAUUAUUGUUUAGUAGUUAGUACUAAGGGUCUUAGGCCAUAUAGGCCGGACUACUGGUACUAUUGGUUUGUGUUGUAGAGUCGAGUGUCUAGUUAGGAUCUGGAAUUUUAUCUUUAGGUUAGGUUCUAGAUUGAGUUUG
rnacentral:lncRNA from 1 species